UUAGCUGAUAUUUGUAUGGAGUGGGAUCGUUUGCGUACGUUUGCCGCUAGGGGCGCUGUUCCAACUGCAUACAAAAUUGGCUUA
rnacentral:pre_miRNA from 1 species